GGUUGAUCCUGCCAGUAGUCAUAUGCUUGUUUCAAAGAUUAAGCCAUGCAAGUCUAAGUAUAAGCUACUUUAUACGGCAAAACUGCGAAUAGCUCAUUAAAACAGUUAUAAUCUACACGACGAUCAUUACCAAAUGGAUAUCCAUGGUAAUUCUGGAGCUAAUACAUGCUAAAACACUCGACUUCUCGGAAGGGUGGCAUUCAUUAGUUCUCAGACCCAGCCGCGAGGCAACUCGUGUUCUUGGUGAUCAUAAUGACGGAGCGGAUCGCAAUUUUUGCGACAGUUCGUUCGAG
rnacentral:rRNA from 1 species